ACGGGUGAGUAACACGUGGGCAAUCUGCCCUUCACUCUGGGACAAGCCCUGGAAACGGGGUCUAAUACCGGAUAUGAGCCUGGGAGGCAUCUCCCGGGUUGUAAAGCUCCGGCGGUGAAGGAUGAGCCCGCGGCCUAUCAGCUUGUUGGUGAGGUAACGGCUCACCAAGGCGACGACGGGUAGCCGGCCUGAGAGGGCGACCGGCCACACUGGGACUGAGACACGGCCCAGACUCCUACGGGAGGCAGCAGUGGGGAAUAUUGCACAAUGGGCGCAAGCCUGAUGCAGCGACGCCGCGUGAGGGAUGACGGCCUUCGGGUUGUAAACCUCUUUCAGCAGGGAAGAAGCGCAAGUGACGGUACCUGCAGAAGAAGCGCCGGCUAACUACGUGCCAGCAGCCGCGGUAAUACGUAGGGCGCAAGCGUUGUCCGGAAUUAUUGGGCGUAAAGAGCUCGUAGGCGGCUUGUCACGUCGGGUGUGAAAGCCCGGGGCUUAACCCCGGGUCUGCAUUCGAUACGGGCUGGCUAGAGUGUGGUAGGGGAGAUCGGAAUUCCUGGUGUAGCGGUGAAAUGCGCAGA
rnacentral:rRNA from 1 species